GAAUGUGAGGGUGAUCUAGCUGCAACCCAUUGAUGGCCAGGGUUGAUUUGGCUGAUCUAGCUGGCUAGGCAGGUGUUCCCUUCCUCCCUCACUGUUCCACAUGUGUCCCUCCUGAAAUUGCUGGCUCUAUGGAAGAGGAUUGACCAUCCCACAUAGAGGAGGACUGUUCUUCAGUCAAGGGUGUAUGAGUAGCUAUGCUCCCCUGCUAGAACCUCCAAACAGCUCUUUAUUAUAAUAUAAUAUAAAAUUCAUGAAUAAUAUUCAUGAAUUCAUGAAUAAUUUUGAUUGUGAACAU
rnacentral:snRNA from 1 species